AUACUUACCUAGAAGAAGAGACACCAUAAUCACAAAGGUCGUUUUCCCCGGGUGAGGCUUAUCCAUCACAUCCAGAACAUCUUGAUAUUCUGACCCCUACAGUUUCCCCAAAUUCAGGAAACUCAACUGCAUAUUUGGUGGUAGUGAGGAACUGUAUUCAUGCUCCCCUGUG
rnacentral:snRNA from 7 species